ACAACUAGGAGGACGUCCAAAGUGAGGGUAUGCAUUGCAUUGAACCUCACAUAGUAACUGAAACUAGGGUUUCUAACGAUGCCCAAAUAGAGUGCAAAGAAGGCGACAAAGUUGGCAUACGGGACGGCCUGGUAGAGGCCCAACAAGGGGAUAAAUAGGUCAAAAAGCAGGCCCAACUGUGAGUACUGCAUCAAGAGGUAAUGAUCGUACUGGAGGGAGUUGAAAAAGGGAAAGUGUAGGUGACAACAGAGAUAAGGCAUUCUGGUGCUGCGGUUGUGGAAGAGGAAGGGGGAUUGUUUUUGUAGGACAUUUGUGGGGCAGCAGGUUUGGGCCCAUCUUUUUGGGCAGGAAAGAUCUAGGUCGUUGAUAAGUGCAGGGUAAAACUGGAAAUGAAGGGUUUGGGGGAAGAAUGGAGCGAGGAGAAAGAAAGAGAUGCCAUGGUAAGAUGGAAGUGAGAUGGAUAUUGUGGGUUUAAGGUUGAGAGAACUUGGGGUUUUUCCGAUUUUAGAGGGUAUCAUGAUGAUUAAUGGUUUGCAAUAGGGUUGGAUUCUCACCCUUAAAACGAGUUUUGCUUGAAUAAACCUGAAACAAGUCGGUUAGAAAUAACCACAAGUCUAAGCAAAAACCAGAAAACGAACACGAGUUCAAACCUGAAUAGGGUAAUACUCAGCUUGCUCAACUCAGCGAGCCAAGUUGGGCUUGCUUAACUUAAAGCAUAGGCUGCCAGCCUCCUCCUACAUAAAAAUGUCACCCUUUGGGGAGCAACUGACUAAACUAUGCCCAAAAAAAAAAAAACCUCGAUUCUUUUGCUUUUCUUCUUGUGUGUAAGGGUGCCGUUUCUCUAGAAGUUCUGUUAUCGUUUAGACUCUCUCUGACUCUUCUAUUCUCUCACAAUUCAAACGUUAUUCAAUCAGCAUGACUUCAAUGCCAUUAAGCCCCGCAACUUCAAUGCAGUUCUAAUAUUUUUCUCCGUAUUCUGUUUUCUCCACUACACAGCAACUUUUGGCUUUCUUCUUUGUCAUUUCUCUGGUGGUUCUCCACUCCAGCAAGAUAACUCGGUGACGUGAACAAGGGUUGAUUGAGGUUUGACAAGAGGCAUGGAAGUUCGAAAACCAUGACAUGGAAUAUGGUUGAUUCAGGUUUGACAAGAGGCAACUUCAUUGUGGCCAUUUGUUCAUGUUUAAGUAAUCUGUAAAUAUGUUAAAAUUAUGCAAUUAAUGUGUAAUGUAAACUACUUUAUUUUGUAUUCAUGUCUUUCGAAUCAAAUAUUGAGGAGAAAUCUAAAAUUUAUGAUGAAU